CCUACGGGAGGCAGCAGUGAGGCAUAUUGGUCAAUGGACGCAAGUCUGAACCCGCAAUGCCGCGUGCAGGAAGACGGCUCUAGGAGUUUUAAACUGCUUUUGUACGAAGGUAAACGAAGCUACGCGCAUAUGUAUGAAAGUAUCGUACGAAUAUGCAUCCGCGAACUCCGUGACAGCAGCGUCAGUAAUACGGAGGAGUGACGCGGUAUACGGGUUUAUUGGGUUGAACGGGUGUGUAGGCGGUAGGAUAAGUUAGAGGUGAAAUGCCGAGGCUCAACUUCGGAAUUGCCUCUGAUAGUGUUCGGCGAGAGAGUAGUGGCGGUAGGCGGAAUGUAUGGUGUAGCGGUGAAAUGCUUAGAUAUCAUACAGAACACCGAUUGCGAAGGCAGCUUACCAAGCUACUUCUGACGUUGAGGCACGAAAGCGUGGGGAGCAAACAGGAUUAGAUACCCGUGUAGUC
rnacentral:rRNA from 1 species